AUGUCUUUGUCUGAGUGUUCUCUUUUAAAUCCAGCUAAUCUUUCAACAACGGAUCUCUUGGUUCUGGCAUCGAUGAAGAACGCAGCGAAAUGCGAUAAGUAAUGCGAAUUGCAGAAUUCUCGUGAGUCAUCGAAUCUUUGAACGCACAUUGCGCCCUUUGGUAUUCCGAAGGGCAUGCCUGUUCGAGCGUCAUUUUCACCCCUCAAGCCCCCGGCUUGGUGUUGGACGGUCUGGUCCGGGGACCUCAAACCCCCUGGACCCCUCCCAAAGACAAUGACGGCGGGCUGUUGAACCCCCGGUACACUGGAGCAUCUUCACGGAGCACGUACCGGUCUCAAGGGUCGACGGCACCCGGUCUAUACCUAUAUUUUUCAAGGUUGACCUCGGAUCAGGUAGGAAUACCCGCUGAACUUAAGCAU
rnacentral:rRNA from 1 species